AUUGAACGCUGGCGGCAUGCCUUACACAUGCAAGUCGAACGGCAGCACGGGAGCAAUCCUGGUGGCGAGUGGCGAACGGGUGAGUAAUAUAUCGGAACGUGCCCAGUCGUGGGGAUAACGUAGCGAAAGCUACGCUAAUACCGCAUACUAUCUAUGGAUGAAAGCGGGGGGAUCGCAAGACCUCGCGCGAUUGGAGCGGCCGAUAUCAGAUUAGGUAGUUGGUGAGGUAAAGGCUCACCAAGCCGACGAUCUGUAGCUGGUCUGAGAGGACGACCAGCCACACUGGGACUGAGACACGGCCCAGACUCCUACGGGAGGCAGCAGUGGGGAAUUUUGGACAAUGGGCGCAAGCCUGAUCCAGCAAUGCCGCGUGCAGGAUGAAGGCC
rnacentral:rRNA from 1 species